UACGUAGGGGGGCAAGCGUUGUCCGGAAUCAUUGGGCGUAAAGAGCGUGUAGGCGGCCCGGUAAGUCCGCCGUGAAAGUCCAGGGCUCAACCCUGGAAUGCCGGUGGAAACUGCCGGGCUGGAGUCCGGAAGAGGCGGGUGGAAUUCCUGGUGUAGCGGUGGAAUGCGCAGAUAUCAGGAGGAACACCAAUAGCGAAGGCAGCUCGCUGGGACGGUACUGACGCUGAGGCGCGAAAGCAUGGGGAGCAAACAGGG
rnacentral:rRNA from 1 species